AGGAGCUGUGGACUUUUAAGAAGAGAGCAUGCCGGAAUGAGUAGCGAGAUGGAGGUGGGAAUCCUCCAGGCCGAAUAUCCAAGGUUUCCAGAGUAAAGCUGAUCUGCUCUGGGUAAGUCGGGGCCUAAGGUAAGGCUGAGAAGCGUAGCCGAUGGACAACAGGUUGAGAUUCCUGUACCGCGUAUCAUCAGAACUGUGGGGACACAGAAGGACAGCACAUCCCGGGAAUGGAAAGACCGGGGCAAGCAGGGUAGGAGUUAAGCUGGCAAAUCCGCUUAACAAUCCGAAGCUGUGAUGCGGAGCGAAUUUAAGUAGUGAAGUGUGCGAUUCCAGCUGUCAAGAAAAGCCGCUAUUGUGUGAUACGUGCCCGUACCGUAAACCGACACAGGUAGAUGAGGAGAGAAUCCUAAGGCCGGCGGGAGAAGCAUUGUUAAGGAACUCGGCAAAAUGACCCUGUAACUUCGGGAGAAAGGGUGCCUGGGAAACCAGGCCGCAGAGAAUAGGCUCAAGCAACUGUUUAGCAAAAACACAGGUCUAUGCAAAACCGUAAGGUGAGGUAUAUGGGCUGACGCCUGCCCGGUGCUGGAAGGUUAAGAGGAGGGGUUAGCGCAAGCGAAGCUCUGAAUUGAAGCCCCAGUAAACGGCGGCCGUAACUAUACCGGUCCUAAGGUAGCGAAAUUCCUUGUCGGGUAAGUUCCGACCCGCACGAAAGGCGUAAUGAUUUGAGCGCUGUCUCGACAAUGCACCCGGUGAAAUUGAAAUACCAGUGAAGAUGCUGGUUACCUGCGCCAGGACGGAAAGACCCCAUGGAGCUUUACUCCAGCUUGAUACUGGGAUUCGGUACUGCAUGUACAGGAUAGGUGGGAGACUGAGAACUAUGAACGCCAGUUUGUAGGGAGUCGCUGUUGGGAUACCACCCUUGCGGUAUUGGAUUUCUAACCUGCAGCCGUGAACCGGCUGGGGGACAAUGUCAGGCGGGGAGUUUGACUGGGGCGGUCGCCUCCGAAAGGGUAUCGGAGGCGCUCAAAGGUUCCCUCAUAAUGGUUGGAAACCAUUAGAAGAGUGCAAAGGCAUAAGGGAGCUUGACUGCGACACCGACGGGUGGAGCAGGUAGGAAACUAGGACUUAGUGAUCCGGUGGUAUGAAAGUGGGAUUGCCAUCGCUCAACGGAUAAAAGCUACCCUGGGGAUAACAGGCUUAUCACUCCCAAGAGUUCACAUCGACGGAGUGGUUUGGCACCUCGAUGUCGGCUCAUCGCAUCCUGGGGCUGUAGCAGGUCCCAAGGGUUGGGCUGUUCGCCCAUUAAAGCGGUACGCGAGCUGGGUUCAGAACGUCGUGAGACAGUUCGGUCCCUAUCCGGCGCGGGCGUAAGAUAUUUGAGAGGAGCUGUCCUUAGUACGAGAGGACCGGGAUGGACGGGCCGCUGGUGUACCUGUUGGAGUGCCAACUCCAUGGCAGGGUAGCCAAGCCCGGACGGGAUAAACGCUGAAGGCAUCUAAGCGGAAGCC
rnacentral:rRNA from 1 species